GGGAACAUUUCAGCUGUCUCCUCCGUGAUUGUACAAAGAACCAGGCAGAGAUCCUGGAAGGUCAUGAGGAUGGGAAUCAGAGAAAAUUGCCCAUUUGGGGGCAACAAUGAAGCAUUCAUCACUCUCCGGAGCUAAGCCAUCUCGAGUAGCCCUCAAUCAAACUCUGCUAUUUUUACCUCAGAGCACAGAGGCCACAGCGGAUAAAGGACCCUUAAGACAGGCACAGAGGACAGAGGACAUGCUCUCCUGGUGUGAAAAGCUCUGUCGCUCUCUGCCUCGGCUGACACGGGCCGCAGGAAGAGCCUGUUCAGAAGAAGGGAGGAAUCGCAUGGAGGGAUGAUUUGACCUUGGCCAGCUGGCUGCUCCGUCGCGACUUCUUUCAUGGAAACAGCAUCAGGAAUUCGAUAAGAGAGAUAAAGGAGCAGUGAGCUUCCUGCGGCCACAAAGGCAGUUUUCAGAAAGCAGGUUUUAACAACAAUGCCACUGGGGUCUCCAUGCUGGGAAGAAAAGGAAGGAGAAACAGAGAUGUUGCCUGUCCGUCUGGGGCCUUGGGAAGCUGGAAUUCCAAAUCUAGCCCUGCCAUUUAAGUGGAAAUCACCCACUCAGCCUUCACGCCCAACUCUAGGGUCUCAGUCUGCUCGAGGCUUCAUAACAAAUGCCGCAGAUGGGUGGCUUAAGCCACAGACAUGAUCCUCUCCCUUCUCGGGGGCUGGACGUCCGAGAUCCAGCUGUCCACAGGGCUGGUUCCUCCAGAGGCCUCCCUUCCUGGCUAGUGGAUGACGUCUUCUCCCUAUGUCCUCAGUCAGUUGUCCCUUUGCGUGCCUCUCUAUGCCUUAACCUCCUCUUCUCAUAGGAUGCCAGUCAGAUCAAAUUAGGGCCACUCCAACGGCUUCAUUUCAACUCAGUUGCUUUUGUAGUGACCCUGUCUCCAAGUCCGGCCACAUCCUGGGGCAUGAGAGUUAGGAUUUCAGCGCAUGAGUCUUGGCCAACCCACCUCAGCCCAUGACACCAAGCCCCUGACGCGGUGCCCACCCUCACACAUUCCUCCCAGAGCCCCUGUUUCACGAGUGCUCACAUUGCAGGCACCCGACUGGAGGAGACGCUCUCACCCAUGCGCUGCCAGUCUCUCCUUCCUGAGCCUUACCCGGAACAGAUCCUGACCUCUGUUUUUUGUUGUCGUUGUUGUUGUUGUCGUUGCUGUUGUUUUGAGACGGAGUCUUGCUCUUGUUGCCCUAGCUGGAGUGCAAUGGCGUGACAUCGGCUCACCUCAACCUCUGCCUCCCAGGUUCAAGCCAUUCUCCUGCCUCAGCCUCCCAAGUAGCUGGGAUUACAGGCAUGCACCUCAUGCCCGGCUAAUUUUGUGUUUUUAGUAGUGGUGGGGUUUCUCCAUGUUAGUCAGGCUGGUCUCGAACUCAUGACCUCAGGUGAUCCACCCACCUCGGCCUGCCAAAGUGCUGGGAUUACAGGCGUGAGCGACCGCCCCAGCCUCUGUUUCUUCCUUAUGGGCCUGGCAUGGAGCAGCUGGGGGCCUUUCUGAUUGAUGCCUUCAGGUCCACCCCGAGACCCUCAGUAGGUCCAGCACACUAAAGUCUGGUGGAUCUGUGCACUGAGCACAAACCUUAUUGAUUUAUUCGUUUAUUUCUUUUUGAGACAGGGUCUCACUCUGUCACCCAGGCUGGAGUGCAGUGGCGCAAUGAGAGCUCAUGGUAACCUUCAACCCCUGGGCUCAAGCAAUCCUCUCACCUCAGCCUCCCACAUAGCUGGGACUACAGGCAUGCACCACCACACCUGGCUAAUUUUGGUAUUUUUUGUAGAGAUGGGGGACCCACUAUGCUUCCAAAGUUGGUCUUGGACUCCUGGCCUCAAGUGAUGCUCCC
rnacentral:lncRNA from 10 species